rnacentral:lncRNA from 1 species
UCAAUCCUUCCUUGGCACGAUGUCACCCCUAAACAGAAUCAGUAAUAUUACUGGUUUUUUUCUUUGACUAUUUGAAUCAUCCAUUUUUUUAAGACAUUGAGUUUUUCAUUGCCAGGGAUGUAGGUGGCAUAUACUUUGUAAAUUUACAGUGGUCCUGUUUCAGAAACUGAUUCUAUGCUUCCAUCUCACAGGGAUGAACUCACAUUGAUCAUAUUCACAGAAAACAAUUUAUGGAGCAAUCAGUUAAGAGUGGAAAAAAUUGUUAUGAGAAACUCAUAGACAGUUGGGUUGAUGCCUUCUGUCUUCAUGGCUAAAUCCACAUGAGAAGAUAUUUUAAUGAGAAGUUCAUUUGGUAGGGGACAUCUGGGUGGCUCAGUGGUUGAGUGUCUGCCUUCAGCCAGGUCAUGGUCCUGGGGUUCUGGGAUCAAGUCCCGCAUUAGGCUCCCUGCAAGGAGCCUGCUUCUCCCUCUGGCUAUGUCUCUGCCUCUCUGUCUCUCAUGAAUAAAUAAAUAAAAUAUAUUUUUAAAAAGUUCAUUUGGUAGGAAUGGAAUUAGAGGAAAGAGAGGUAGGGAAAUAAAUUCUGUUUGAUUCUAUCAGGCAGUUGUUAAGUAUAUGGAUCUGGCUCUGCAACAUGGGUAUGUUGCUCUUGGAAACAGACAGGUUCACCAUUUGGACCAGGGAUCUUCUUUCCUAAAUGGUAUUUAGAUAUGUGUUCUUAAGAGUUACUUUUGGGUAUUUUCUCAGUGGUUCCAUCGCUGACUGGUUUGCCCUUUAAUUGAUCACCAUACCUUAAAGUGAAAUCUUGCUGACAUUGAAGCCAUUUUAAUGUUUUAAAGUGACUUUACAUGUCUUCGUUGCAAAGGCAUUUCCUUUAUUGCCAAGUUCAGAGAUAGGGAAGACACAUUAAUAUUUUCAUUUUGUAUUACCUAGAUAGCUGGACUGACCAACAUGGUAGCCACAAGCCACAUGUGGCUGUUUAAAAUUAAAUUAAUUAAAAUAAAAUAAAAUAAAACAUUUCAUUCCUCAGUCACACUAAUCACGUUUCACGUAUUCAGUAGCUAUCUGUGACUGCUGGUUGCUGUAUUGAACAGUACAGAAUGUUGAACCUUUUUUUUUCAUUGGAGAAAGUUCUGUUGAGCAAUACUGGAGAGAGAUGUUUAACUGGCAAAGUAUUUUCCAGUUAUUUUUUUUAAUAUACUAUGGGAUCAAAUAUUUUCAUAUGUCUUCACUGUGAUAUAUUUAUUUUAAGUAAUAGCCCAACUUACGAUUCUAAUCCUCUCCAGUCAUAUAUACAUACAUGAUCAGCUGGUCAGGGAUUUUGUUUUUAAAAUACUAGUUGUUUAAUUAGCACUUAUGCAUUUUACUUACAACAUUUUACUUACAACAAGGUUCUCUUAUAAUGGUAGACUUCUUGCUUUUUCCAACACUGUGGAAAUUAUUAUUAAUAAAUUAAUAAUAUUCCUUCAGAAAUGCUGACAUUGCCAGGAAAAUAAAUGCAACCUUAUAUGUAUAAAAGCUGUCCUUCAGAAAAUAGUAUACUGUUAUACUAGAAGUGCCUGAAAGUCCAUUCGUUUUCAGUCUGAAUAGGAUUUUAACUUGUGUGCUUUACUCUGCAUUUAACAACUGUUCCCAUGGGACUAUUAUAAAUUUUUUUAUCUGCUUUAACAUCUGUCACAUUUGAAAGAUUAUUUUCAAUAAGACAAGUCUUUCUUACAUGGUAGUUUAACUAGGUCAGUGAUUUUCUAACAUUUGAAUUUCAUUGAUCAGUAAAAUUUCAGAAGAAAUUUUGGGGAGCACCUAAUGAUUUUAGUUUUGCAUUUUGCUAAAUAAGAACUACCACUUCUUAUUGUCAUCAUUUUAUGAAAGAGUGGACAUUUAAACAUGAAACCCAAAAGGGUGGGUUUUAUCUUUCAUUUAUCAUUCAUUUAUCAUAUCAUUUAUCAACCUGAUGAUAGUUAUAUUACAUUCUUCUUCUUUUGCCCCAUUUAUUCCUUUAAAGUUUUGACUAGUCUCAAGCCAAAACUUCACUGUGGAAAUUAUCAAUCUUUGUUGGUUUUCUUCUUCAUUGAUCUUUUUUAUUUUUUACCACCUCUGUUUGGCAUUUUGAAUUAUAAUUUUGAUUUUUCAAAGACUGUUGCUAUUGAAGGAAAUUCUAUAAUAUUAUUAGACCAUGUGAUACAUGAUAGAGAUAUAUCAAAAGUUAUUUAACAGUUUUAACCGUGCCAUCUGUUAGCCAAAUACUCAUUUGUCUAAUUCAUAUUCUGAGUUAAGUUUGUCCGAGUUAUACUCCAUAAGAGCUCAGAAGAAAUAGGUAUCUAUCUCUUCCAGAAGGAAGAUGAAAACAAAGGAAUCAAGGCAAAAUGACUUAAGUAGGCCUGAGAAUCAGUUUCAAAGAAAAGACUCUUCGAGGAAUAUGGAUAAUAUACCUUACUUGUUAAGAGCUUGGAAUUUUAGGAAAAAAAUGUAGUUUGGAAAAAUAAUGUUUUUAAGGUAACAUUAAAUAUAUAUUUGUUAUAUAUAUUAUUAAUGUCUAAUAACUACUUGUAGACUUUUUAUGUGUUUUAUGUGAAAAAACUUCUAGUGUUUUUAUAUACACUCAUAUAUAUAUUUAUUCAUCCAUAUUCUUAUACACAAUUGUUCUUAUAUUAGGAAAGGUUAUUUUUUACUGAGUACUUUAAAGAUAGUGGGUUCAAUGUAGCUACUGGGAGGAGUACAAAGAUCCCCAGGCACAGCUUCUCCUCUCCUAGAUCAUAGCUAAGGUACUGGGAAUAGGGAGUAUCUCCC